rnacentral:rRNA from 1 species
CCUACGGGGCGCAGCAGUGAGGAAUAUUGGUCAAUGGGCGGGAGCCUGAACCAGCCAAGUCGCGUGAGGGAAGACGGUCCUAUGGAUUGUAAACCUCUUUAGGCGGGGAGCAAUGCCGGGCACGUGUGCCCGGAGGGAGAGUACCCGCAGAAUAAGCAUCGGCUAACUCCGUGCCAGCAGCCGCGGUAAUACGGAGGGGGCAAGCGUUCUCCGGAUUCAUUGGGCGUAAAGCGCGCGCAGGCGGGCGGCUA